rnacentral:tRNA from 1 species
GGCCCGUUGGCUCAGUUGGUUAGAGCGUCGUGCUAAUAACGCGAAGGUCGUGGGUUCGAUCCCCCCACGGGCCA